rnacentral:rRNA from 1 species
CUUUAACACUGAGGCGUGACGACGAGGCACUACGGUGCUGAAGCAACAAAUGCCCUGCUUCCAGGAAAAGCCUCUAAGCAUCAGGUAACAUCAAAUCGUACCCCAAACCGACACAGGUGGUCAGGUAGAGAAUACCAAGGCGCUUGAGAGAACUCGGGUGAAGGAACUAGGCAAAAUGGUGCCGUAACUUCGGGAGAAGGCACGCUGACACGUAGGUGAAGUGAUUUACUCAUGGAGCUGAAGUCAGUCGAAGAUACCAGCUGGCUGCAACUGUUUAUUAAAAACACAGCACUGUGCAAACACGAAAGUGGACGUAUACGGUGUGACGCCUGCCCGGUGCCGGAAGGUUAAUUGAUGGGGUCAGCGCAAGCGAAGCUCCUGAUCGAAGCCCCGGUAAACGGCGGCCGUAACUAUAACGGUCCUAAGGUAGCGAAAUUCCUUGUCGGGUAAGUUCCGACCUGCACGAAUGGCGUAAUGAUGGCCAGGCUGUCUCCACCCGAGACUCAGUGAAAUUGAACUCGCUGUGAAGAUGCAGUGUACCCGCGGCAAGACGGAAAGACCCCGUGAACCUUUACUAUAGCUUGACACUGAACAUUGAGCCUUGAUGUGUAGGAUAGGUGGGAGGCUUUGAAGUGUGGACGCCAGUCUGCAUGGAGCCGACCUUGAAAUACCACCCUUUAAUGUUUGAUGUUCUAACGUGGACCCGUUACCCGGGUUGCGGACAGUGUCUGGUGGGUAGUUUGACUGGGGCGGUCUCCUCCUAAAGAGUAACGGAGGAGCACGAAGGUUGGCUAAUCCUGGUCGGACAUCAGGAGGUUAGUGCAAUGGCAUAAGCCAGCUUGACUGCGAGCGUGACGGCGCGAGCAGGUGCGAAAGCAGGUCAUAGUGAUCCGGUGGUUCUGAAUGGAAGGGCCAUCGCUCAACGGAUAAAAGGUACUCCGGGGAUAACAGGCUGAUACCGCCCAAGAGUUCAUAUCGACGGCGGUGUUUGGCACCUCGAUGUCGGCUCAUCACAUCCUGGGGCUGAAGUAGGUCCCAAGGGUAUGGCUGUUCGCCAUUUAAAGUGGUACGCGAGCUGGGUUUAGAACGUCGUGAGACAGUUCGGUCCCUAUCUGCCGUGGGCGCUGGAGAACUGAGGGGGGCUGCUCCUAGUACGAGAGGACCGGAGUGGACGCAUCACUGGUGUUCGGGUUGUCAUGCCAAUGGCACUGCCCGGUAGCUAAAUGCGGAAGAGAUAAGUGCUGAAAGCAUCUAAGCACGAAACUUGCCCCGAGAUGAGUUCUCCCUGAGACUUAAAGUCUCCUGAAGGAACGUUGAAGACGACG